rnacentral:lncRNA from 1 species
AAUUCCAAGCUUGUGGAAACUUAACAUAUUAUUAGAUGUUUAAUAUGUUAAGAUAAACACAAUAAGGAAACCUAGAAAUAGGAAAAGGAAGUUUCUAUUUAGGUUAGGUUUGUGUUUUCCAUAUCCCACAUGUUAAAGGGAAUUGUCUUUCAUAUAAAUAUAGGUCUAAUGGAGAGGUGUUCUAUAUGAUAUAAGUGAAACAUAUUGAGAGCUUUAGUUUUGAGUAGUUUCUAAAGCUAAUAAGAAAAGUUGUUCUUAUAACUCUUUGUGCUUCUAAGAGAUUUGAAUUGGUAUCAGAGCCUCAGGUUGGAGACUCGAUCUAAGCUUAAGUUGUAGCUUAAGAUCCUGGUGCUUGUGAACAAGAGAUCGCGACGGCAAGAUGGCUGACGUGACUAGGGCUCCACGCACGAAGGACUUUGGAUCUACAUCCAUCCAAUGUCCGAUGUUGUCAUCGACAAACUACACAGUUUGGUCGAUGAGGACGAAGGUUCUACUACGUGUUCAUGAAGUGUGGGACACAAUCGAACCUGGUUCAGAUGAUCAAAAUAAGAACGAUGUUGCGAUAGCUCUUUUGUUUCAAUCUGUUCCCGAAACAUUGCUUCUCCAGGUGGGAGAACAAACCGCAUCAAAAGAGAUCUGGAACGCCAUCAAGUCGCGACACCUAGGAGCUGAUCGUGUAAGGGAGGUGAGACUUCAGACGUUGAUGACAGAGUUUGACAGGUUGAAGAUGGAUGAUUCAGAUACGGUCGAUGACUUCGCGGGAAAGAUAUUGGGCCUAUCAUCCAAAGCAACCUCGUUGGGAGAAAACAUAGAAGAAUCCAAGAUGGUCAAGAAGUUCUUGAAGGGUCUUCCAAGACACAAGUAUAUCCAGAUCGUAGCAUCACUUGAGCAAGUCCUAGAUCUCAACUCGACGGGGUUUGAAGACAUAGUUGGAAGGCUUAAGGCGUACGAGGAGCGUGUAGGAGAAGAAACUCAGAAAGAAGACCAAGGGAAGCUGAUGUUUUCGAACAAUGAAGAGCAUAGUCAGAGGGGCUAUGAGAAUUCUCGUGGUAGAGGAAGAGGACAGAACGGUAGAGGCAGAGGUCGAGGUAGGUCACACAUCCAAAACCGUGCGUCACACACCGAAGAUAACAACUCGAAGAAGAAUCAUUCAAAGCUGAUAUGUUGGAGAUGUGACAAGCCUGGUCACUACGCAACUGUUUGUCCAGAAAAGACAGAGAAGGAUCAAGAAACCAACCUAAACGAGACAGAAGAGGCCGAUGCACUCUAUGUACACGAGGUGGUGUUUUUGAACGAAGAUAAGGUGAUUCCGAAGAAUCUUGAUAUCGACAAAGGCAAUGCAAGUGUCUGGUAUUUGGAUAAUGGAGCGAGCAAUCACAUGACAGAGAACAAGGAGUUCUUUUCGAGUUUGAAUCUCAACACCAAAGGGAAGGUGAAGUUUGGUGAUGGAUCGUGUGUUGACAUUGUAGGAAAGGGUGUGGUUACUUUUGAAAAGUGCACGAAGGAACCAUCAGUGUACUGCAAGACUCAAGGUGGAGACGUCUUGAUCAUAGCCAUCUACGUUGAUGAUCUAUUUGUGACAGGAACUUCGCUUAAGAUGAUUAGGCAAUUCAAGGAGGAGAUGUCUAAGAAGUUCGAGAUGUCAGAUUUAGGUAAGCUAACGUACUAUCUUGGCAUAGAGGUGAUUCAAGGAGCAGACGGAAUCAGAAUAAAGCAAGAGAGGUAUGCUCAAAGAAUCAUGUGUGACACAAAGAUGGAAGUGUGUAACACGACUCACGUAGGAGUGUGCAACACGACUCAAGGAAUCCUGUGUGACACAAAGAUGGAAGUGUGUAACACGACUCACGUAGGAGUGUGCAACACGACUCACAGAGGAGUGUGCAACACGACUCACGGAGGAGUGUGUGACACAAAUGUGGAAGCGUGUGACACAACGCACGUACCAAUGGAGUCAAGGUUCUCAAAGGCUGAAGAUGAACUAGAGAUAAAUCAGUUGGGUGUUGAGCAGAAGGCCGACAUCCUUCCCAGAGCUCACGUACGCAAGAUGGCGGAUGUGACCAGAGUUAUCAUCGCAGUAAGCUUCAGCCACAAGACUCAUCGCAACUUAAGUGAAGAGGUCAUGAGAAGGUUCUACAAGAACUGGGCCGAUUCUAAGAAGAAGCGGUACGGAAGCAAGGAGAGCAUCCGGUCUAACCUUGAGAAAGAUGUGAAUCCAAUGGGUGGAUUCCCACACCAUGGUGCGGUGGAGUAUGAUUACUUGAUGAUUGAGUUCAGGCAAAUGAGGAGCUUAAUCGGAGUUCAAGAAAUUGAUCUCCCUAAUUCAAGUUGGAAUUAAGGGGGUGAAUGUUGGAUAAUUCUAAGCUUGUGGAAACUUAACAUAUUAUUAGAUGUUUAAUAUGUUAAGAUAAACACAAUAAGGAAACCUAGAAAUAGGAAAAUGAAGUUUCUAUUUAGGUUAGGUUUGUGUUUUCCAUAUCCCACAUGUUAAAGGGAAUUGUCUUUCAUAUAAAUAUAGGUCUAAUGGAGAGGUGUUCUAUAUGAUCUAAGUGAAACAUAUUGAGAGCUUUAGUUUUG